rnacentral:rRNA from 1 species
CCCCUACGGGGUGCAGCAGGCGCGAAACCUCUGCAAUGCGCGAAAGCGCGACAGGGCCACCCCGAGUGCUAGCCGCUGAGGUUAGCUUUUCCUUAGUGUAGUAAGCUAAGGGAAUAAGCGGGGGGCAAGCCUGGUGUCAGCCGCCGCGGUAAUACCAGCUCCGCGAGUGGUCGGGACGAUUAUUGGGCCUAAAGCGUCCGUAGCCGGCCUAUCAAGUCUCUGGUUAAACCUCAAGGCUCAACCUUGAGAUCGCUGGAGAUACUGUUAGGCUAGGGGGCGGGAGAGGUUGAGGGUACUCCGCGGGUAGGGGCGAAAUCCUAUAAUCCGCGAAGGACCACCAGUGGCGAAGGCGCUCAACUGGAACGCGCCCGACGGUGAGGGACGAAAGCCAGGGGAGCAAAGGGGAUUAGAUACCCCCGUAGUCCUGGCUGUAAACGAUGCGGGCUAGGUGUUGGGUUGGCUUCGUGCCAACCCGGUGCCGCAGUGAAGACGAUAAGCCCGCCGCCUGGGAAGUACGGCUGCAAGGCUGAAACUUAAAGGAAUUGGCGGGGGAGCACCACAAGGGGUGAAGCCUGCGGUUUAAUUGGAGUCAACGCCGGGAAUCUUACCGGGAGCGACAGCAAGAUGAAGGCCAAGCUGACGACUUUGCUAGAUGGGCUGAGAAGAAGUGCAUGGCC